ensembl:lncRNA
GCUGUCAGCUUCCACUUUCUCCACCUGCAGGACAGGCACAGUCAGCUGAGCAGGUUUCUCAGGGAGCCCCGGCUGCUGUGAGCCUGGUGACCAAGAGCCGUCCUUCUGUUAAACCUGGGUUUGCAGACUCUAAGCCCUCCGCUCUUUCAUGGACACACUACAGAAGAAAGACAGGUACGCCUUGGGGGUCCUAUUGGGAUAAGGAACCUCAGGACUGAGAAAGCAAGAGAUUCUCAAUCCUUAUAAAAGGCACUCUGUGUUAAAACCUGAGAGCCUGAAAAUGUCAUUUCCUAGCUGAGUGUCCUUGGGCUGGUGGAGAAGUAAACAAGGUACAUACUUCAAAUACCGAGCACACCCCGGCACGGCACGUGGUAAGCUCCAGGCAAUUGCCUGGGCAGCAAAGAUGCUCAGUGAAGCCUCACUGUUAAGAGCAAAAAAUUAGAAACUACGUAUCCAAUAAUAAGGGAAAUAGUUAACUAAUUAAGCAAUGUCUAUGUCCUACUAAACAGCCAAAAAAGAGGGGAAAGAGGAAGGAGCUAAAGGAAUGUUGUAUAGAUCAUUAUGGACCCUUAAGUGAAAAGAGCAAGUUAUCCAACAGUUUGGCAUUGGGGACAGACAGACUUGAGUCUAAGUCUCAGCUCUCCUAGCUGUCUGUCUUAGGCAAGGUUCUUAAACUGCUCUAAGCUUCAGAGACAGAUAAAUGGGAGCUGUAAUUAUUACUUUAUUUUUAUCACUAUCAUUAACAAACCUAUGGGUCUGGUGUUCCCUGGUGGCCUAGCGGUUAAGAAUCCAGAGUGGUCACUGCUGUGGCUUGGGUUACUGCUGUGGCUUGGGUUCAGUCCCUAGCCCAGGAAUUUCCACAUACCAUGGGAGCAGCCAAAACCAACCAACCAACCAACCUAUGGGCCAACAUUGGCAGAGUUUCUGACUCCUAUUAUCAUCUGUCUAUCAUCUAGUAUUUCAUCUCCCCAACAACCCUGAUCUUAAUACCUUUUAUUCAUGAAGACACUGAGGCUCAGAGAAGUUAAACCUUGAUGACAAAGUCCCCAAGUCAUCAGUAGGGUAGUCAGGAUUUGAAUCCAGUUCUGCCUGGCUGCAAGUUUCAUACUCCUUAACCCAUUGUACCCUGCUGGCACCUGGCACGGAUAACAAACUUUCAGUGUCAUGGGAUCAUCGCACUUUAUUUCUGAGAGAGUCAUCCUGGGACACUGCUGGAGCCAUGCCCCCAAGGGGACCCCACAGGCAGGUCCAGAUAAAAUGAAGUUAUAAAGGGAGUUCCCAUUGUGGCACAGUGGAAAUGAAUCCAACUAGAAUCCAUGAGGAUGAGGGUUUGAUCCCUGGCCUCGCUUAGUGGGUUGCCAUGAGCUGUGGUGCAGGUCGCAGACACAGUUCCCAUCCCACGUUGCUGUGGCUGUGGCUGUGGCUGGCAGCUGUAGCUCCGAUUUGACCCCUAGCCUGGGAACUUCCAUAUGCCACAGGAGCAGCCCUAAAAAAACAGAAAAAAAAAAAAAAAAAAAAGAAGCUGUAGAAUGAGCAGCUCUCGACUUUUUGGUGUUUGCAGCCCACUUUGAACACUGUAUUUGAUUUGAAAUCCAGAGUCUUCCAUACAGUAAUAAACAGUUGGUGAUGCAAUGAUGAGGCA